GGGCCCGUGGUCUAGUUGGCUAUGACGCCACCCUUACGAUCCGGAAAGGAUAAGAAAGGUGGAGGUCCGGGGUUCAAAUCCCCGCGGGCCCA
rfam:Candidate divison MSBL1 archaeon SCGC-AAA259M10 AAA259M10_Contig_0, whole genome shotgun sequence.